CAUCAAUUAAGCAUUAUUUGAUUAGUCUUCAUUAGGUAGACUUGCAAGUACGAGACUCCCUCCCUGGACGGAACACCAAUACAUCUCGGGAAUAAGCCCUCAACAGCAUUGGUCCCCACUUCUACGGCUGGGUAAAUUGGAGCAACUGGGGUAAAGUACUACAGCAGCAUCCUCAGUGGGAACUUGAACCCAAUACCGGUCAGGUAAAAGCCUAACCACACUGCGCCACCUCCUUUAAUACCUACAGCCUACAGGAAAAAUUAAUACUAGACAGAAAGUGUUCCGAUAACAACAGCACUUGCUACUGGCUACAGAAGAGAAACAUAUCCUUUUAACCAAGCAUAAGAGGUGAUCAGGGAGUCUCCCCCAACAUGCUUGGUUGAUGCUGUCUGUACGGGGUUGUGGCCUUGUCUUCUGCUCUGUCCUUUGUCCACUGCUGUACAGGUAGGUCUAUAAACCCCAAAUCACGUGAUUGAAGUCCACCUGGUCCACACUUGAAGUAUGACUGGCAGAACCAUGAGAUGUACCACCAUGCAUUCAUGACGUUCAUCACAGGAAGUGACACAAUUGAUCAGAAUGCACAGGACAAAACUUCAGAGCACAGACUUGACGGCUUGUUCUACCAUUCAACCAAAUCAGCUCGCUGGUGAACAUGGGAAAGCAGAUUUGUUAUGAACUCAUUGACACAUUAACUCAUAGAGGAUACUGGAGUGUAUGUGAGGGGUAAAUGCCAGUGUACAGUACCUCAGCCAGACCAUCCUGCUGAACUCUAAGUGCAAAAUAACCUUGGAAACAGGGCAUUAGAAAUGCAGGGCUGUA
rnacentral:lncRNA from 1 species